rnacentral:tRNA from 1 species
CAUUAAGUGUCUGAACAAAGAAUUGAUCUUUUAAAUCAAAUAAUAGUAUAAAUUUUUAUACUCUUAAUGA